AUUGAACGCUGGCGGCAGGCUUAAUACAUGCAAGUCGAGCGGAGAGAGGUAGCUUGCUACUGAUCUUAGCGGCGGACGGGUGAGUAAUGCUUAGGAAUCUGCCUAUUAGUGGGGGACAACAUUUCGAAAGGAAUGCUAAUACCGCAUACGUCCUACGGGAGAAAGCAGGGGAUCUUCGGACCUUGCGCUAAUAGAUGAGCCUAAGUCGGAUUAGCUAGUUGGUGGGGUAAAGGCCUACCAAGGCGACGAUCUGUAGCGGGUCUGAGAGGAUGAGCCGCAGCAGUGGGACUGAGACACGGCCCAGUCUCCUAGGGGAGGCAGCAGUGGGGAAUAUUGGACAAUGGGGGGAACCCUGAUCGAGCCAUGCCGCGUGUGUGAAGAAGGCCUUUUGGUUGUAAAGCACUUUAAGCGAGGAGGAGGCUACUGGUAUUAAUACUACCGGCUAGUGGACGUUACGCGCAGAAUAAGCACCGGCUAACUCUGUGCAAGCAGCCCCAGUCAUAC
rnacentral:rRNA from 1 species